AUGGAGAGUUUGAUCCUGGCUCAGGAUGAACGCUGGCGGCGUGCCUAAUACAUGCAAGUCGAGCGAACGGACGAGAAGCUUGCUUCUCUGAUGUUAGCGGCGGACGGGUGAGUAACACGUGGAUAACCUACCUAUAAGACUGGGAUAACUUCGGGAAACCGGAGCUAAUACCGGAUAAUAUUUUGAACCGCAUGGUUCAAAAGUGAAAGACGGUCUUGCUGUCACUUAUAGAUGGAUCCGCGCUGCAUUAGCUAGUUGGUAAGGUAACGGCUUACCAAGGCAACGAUGCAUAGCCGACCUGAGAGGGUGAUCGGCCACACUGGAACUGAGACACGGUCCAGACUCCUACGGGAGGCAGCAGUAGGGAAUCUUCCGCAAUGGGCGAAAGCCUGACGGAGCAACGCCGCGUGAGUGAUGAAGGUCUUCGGAUCGUAAAACUCUGUUAUUAGGGAAGAACAUAUGUGUAAGUAACUGUGCACAUCUUGACGGUACCUAAUCAGAAAGCCACGGCUAACUACGUGCCAGCAGCCGCGGUAAUACGUAGGUGGCAAGCGUUAUCCGGAAUUAUUGGGCGUAAAGCGCGCGUAGGCGGUUUUUUAAGUCUGAUGUGAAAGCCCACGGCUCAACCGUGGAGGGUCAUUGGAAACUGGAAAACUUGAGUGCAGAAGAGGAAAGUGGAAUUCCAUGUGUAGCGGUGAAAUGCGCAGAGAUAUGGAGGAACACCAGUGGCGAAGGCGACUUUCUGGUCUGUAACUGACGCUGAUGUGCGAAAGCGUGGGGAUCAAACAGGAUUAGAUACCCUGGUAGUCCACGCCGUAAACGAUGAGUGCUAAGUGUUAGGGGGUUUCCGCCCCUUAGUGCUGCAGCUAACGCAUUAAGCACUCCGCCUGGGGAGUACGACCGCAAGGUUGAAACUCAAAGGAAUUGACGGGGACCCGCACAAGCGGUGGAGCAUGUGGUUUAAUUCGAAGCAACGCGAAGAACCUUACCAAAUCUUGACAUCCUUUGACAACUCUAGAGAUAGAGCUUUCCCCUUCGGGGGACAAAGUGACAGGUGGUGCAUGGUUGUCGUCAGCUCGUGUCGUGAGAUGUUGGGUUAAGUCCCGCAACGAGCGCAACCCUUAAGCUUAGUUGCCAUCAUUAAGUUGGGCACUCUAAGUUGACUGCCGGUGACAAACCGGAGGAAGGUGGGGAUGACGUCAAAUCAUCAUGCCCCUUAUGAUUUGGGCUACACACGUGCUACAAUGGACAAUACAAAGGGCAGCGAAACCGCGAGGUCAAGCAAAUCCCAUAAAGUUGUUCUCAGUUCGGAUUGUAGUCUGCAACUCGACUACAUGAAGCUGGAAUCGCUAGUAAUCGUAGAUCAGCAUGCUACGGUGAAUACGUUCCCGGGUCUUGUACACACCGCCCGUCACACCACGAGAGUUUGUAACACCCGAAGCCGGUGGAGUAACCUUUUAGGAGCUAGCCGUCGAAGGUGGGACAAAUGAUUGGGGUGAAGUCGUAACAAGGUAGCCGUAUCGGAAGGUGCGGCUGGAUCACCUCCUUUCUAAGG
rnacentral:rRNA from 1 species